UGGGGAAUUUUGCGCAAUGGGCUAACGCCUGACGCAGCAACGCCGCGUGGAGGAUGAAGGUCUUUGGAUUGUAAACUCCUGUCAGCGGGGAAAAAGCGACUCGGCCUCAUACGCCGGGGAGUUGAUUGUACCCGCAGAGGAAGCCCCGGCUAACUCUGUGCCAGCAGCCGCGGUAAUACAGAGGGGGCAAGCGUUAUUCGGAAUUAUUGGGCGUAAAGGGCGCGUAGGCGGCUUGGCAAGUGGAAGGUGAAAUCCCUCGGCUUAACCGAGGAACUGCCCUCCAAACUGCUUUGCUUGAGGCCGGGAGAGGUGAGUGGAAUUCCCAGUGUAGCGGUGAAAUGCGUAGAUAUUGGGAGGAACACCAGUGGCGAAGGCGGCUCACUGGACCGGUUCUGACGCUGAGGCGCGAAAGCGUGGGGAGCAAACGGGAUUAGAUACCCCGGUAGUCCACGCCGUAAACGAUGAGUGCUUGGUGUAGCGGGUAUCGACCCCUGCUGUGCCGAAGUCAACACAUUAAGCACUCCGCCUGGGGAGUACGGUCGCAAGGCUGA
rnacentral:rRNA from 1 species